CCCCCCCCCCCCCCCCCCCCCCCCCCCCCCCCCCCCCCCCCCCCCCCCCCCCCCCCCCCCCCCGGCCUCGCUGCGCGCCCCACGGCCAGCUGCCUGCCGCCCGCCCGGCGCCGGGCCAGCCCCAGCCGAGCGCUCCUCUGCCUGCCGAGCCCCUGCUUCCCCACAGAAAAUACACUGACUUCCUGCAAGAGCCCUCCAGAAGCAAACUGGGAAUGAGGGAGUUCACAUGCCCAGGGAAGACUUCUCUGAUCUCUCAGUUCCUGGAAUCAAGCAGAAUGUUGUCUGCAGCAAUUUCAAUUGUAUUUCUCACUCCACAGCUUCAGAAGAAGAUCGUAUGUGUAGAGCAAUACCAAAACAAAAGAAAACAAAUAGCAAGAAAAAAAUUCACCACAAAACAAAGUGUUUAUUUGGUGAAAGAAUACUGCCAUUUGUAGCUACAUCAAACACCUUUAAUGUAAGAACAUAUAUUAAAAAAUAAGAAAAAAGGUUCACUUGUUUCUUAUUAGAAGAU
rnacentral:lncRNA from 12 species